GGAAAAGACUGCGCGCAAAAGUACCGGGAGGCCGGAAGGGGGGCGCGCCUAGGAGUGGGGCUAAGUAAGGAGAGGGUCUCCGCCAGGGCUGGGAACAAAGGCCGGAUCGGGCUGGUUAGCGCGGAGGCUAGGUGGAGCAGCUCCCUUGGGAACACUACCCAAAAGCCCCCUUUGAAGAAGUACUCGAGUGACCAUCUGUGAAGUGCUAUCUGAGCAAAUCAUUCUGAAACCUGCUUGCACCUCCCCUUUUAAAGUGCUUCCUAAACUGCAAUCCCACAAUGUUAAGAUGUUUACCUUUGGUGGGCAAAGUAGCUCGCUGUGGAUUUUUCAUUUAUAUUCGGCUACUUUUUAUAAAGGAGUUCCAGUGUAUGUAAAGCUACAGUCCAAUUUGCUCCAUAUAGAUCAUUGUUACAAAGGACCAAUUCACUUUCCUCACACACAACUCAGUGGGACUGGUCACAUCAGUAAGGUUGGCAACGGCUUGAGAAAAUAGCCCUCAAUAUAGACUUUUUAAGAAAUGGUCUGAGAAAUUCUCUUUUGUUGCAGGUUUCAGAGUAGUAGCCGUGUUAGUCUAUAUCAGCAAAAAGAAUGAGGAGUACCUGUGGCACCUUAGACUAACAAAUUUAUUUGGGCAUAAGCUUUCGUGGGCUAAAACCCACUUCAUCAGAUGUAUGCAGUGGAAAAUACAGGAGGGAGAGAGAGAGAGAUAGAUAGAUUCUCUCUCUAAUAUAUAUAGAGAGAGAGAACAUGAAAAAAUGGGUGUUGCCAUACCAUCUCUAACAAGACUAAUCAAUUAAGGUGAGCUAUUAUCAGCAGGAGAAAAAAACUUUUGUAGUGAUAAUCAGGAUGGCCCAUUUCAAACAACUGACAAGAAGAUGUGAGUAACAGUAGGGGGGGAAAAAGUCUUAAUGCAAAAGAAUAAAUGGACACAAAUCAGACGUCAAGAAUUAUAACAUUCAAAAAACAGUCGGAGAACACUUCAACCUCCCUGAUCACUCAAUUACAGACCUAAAAGUGGCAAUUCUUCAACAAAAAAACUUCAAAAACAGACUCCAGCGAGAAACUGCAGAACUGGAAUUAAUUUGCAAACUGGACACCAUUAAAUUAGGCUUGAAUAAAGAGUGGGAGUGGAUGGGUCAUUACACAAAGUAAAAACUAUUUCUCCAUGCUAAUUUUUCCCCUACUGUUACUCACACCUUCUUGUCAACUGUUUGAAAUGGGCCAUCCUGAUUAUCACUACAAAAAAGUUUUUUUUCUCCUGCUGAUAAUAGCCCACCUUAAUUAAUUAGUCUCAUUGAGUUGGUAUGGCAACACCUUUUUUUUUUCAUGGUGUGUGUCUGUCUGUCUUCCUACUGUAUUUUCCACUGCAUGCAUCCGAUGAAGAGAGCUGUAGCUCACGAAAGCUUAUGCCCAAAUAAAUCUGUUAGUCUGUAUCAGCAAAAAGAAUGAGGAGUACUUGUGGCACCGUAGAGACUAACCCGGCUACCCCUCUGAAACCUGUCAUAGUUUUACAAGUUCUUUUCUGUUCAGCCUUUGAAACAAUGCUGUAGUGUUAAUUUUGCACUGCAGGCUCUUGGGCAAGCUGUGGCAAACACCAGGAGAAUACGAUCUUUGCCUUAAUCUCUCACUAGAGAGAGCAAUUUUUGGUACACAGUUGCUUUCUGAUAACCAGGCAUUGCUGCUGGGGCUGAGAUUUCUGAAAGAGGGUUUGCCUGCUUGCCCCUUGUGAUGACCUUUGAUCUAGGAUUGCUGUAAGUGUGUAAAUAAAACAAAAUGCACUAGGAAUAUA